rnacentral:rRNA from 1 species
AGUGAACGCUGGCGGUAGGCCUAACACAUGCAAGUCGAACGGCAGCACAGUAAGAGCUUGCUCUUACGGGUGGCGAGUGGCGGACGGGUGAGGAAUACAUCGGAAUCUACUUUUUCGUGGGGGAUAACGUAGGGAAACUUACGCUAAUACCGCAUACGACCUACGGUUGAAAGCAGGGGAUCUUCGGACCUUGCGCGAUUGAAUGAGCCGAUGUCGGAUUAGCUAGUUGGCGGGGUAAAGGCCCACCAAGGCGACGAUCCGUAGCUGGUCUGAGAGGAUGAUCAGCCACACUGGAACUGAGACACGGUCCAGACUCCUACGGGAGGCAGCAGUGGGGAAUAUUGGACAAUGGGCGCAAGCCUGAUCCAGCCAUACCGCGUGGGUGAAGAAGGCCUUCGGGUUGUAAAGCCCUUUUGUUGGGAAAGAAAAGCAGCAGGUUAAUACCCCGCUGUUCUGACGGUACCCAAAGAAUAAGCACCGGAUAACUUCGUG